UAGGGUGGCUAUGCUGAAGGGGAAGCACCCGGUCCCAUCCCGAACCCGGAAGUUAAGUCCUUAUAGGCCGAUGAUACUGCUCCUUUCAGGAGUGGGAAAGUAGGUGGCUGCCCUUU
rnacentral:rRNA from 1 species